rnacentral:rRNA from 1 species
CCUGGCUCCCAUGAACGCUAGCUACAGGCUUAACACAUGCAAGUCGAGGCUCUGCAUGGUCUUAGCUUGCUAAGGCCGAUGGCGACCGGCGCACGGGUGAGUAACACGUAUCCAACCUGCCGUCUACUCUUGGACAGCCUUCUGAAAGGAAGAUUAAUACAAGAUGGCAUCAUGAGUCCGCAUGUUCACAUGAUUAAAGGUAUUCCGGUAGACGAUGGGGAUGCGUUCCAUUAGAUAGUAGGCGGGGUAACGGCCCACCUAGUCUUCGAUGGAUAGGGGUUCUGAGAGGAAGGUCCCCCACAUUGGAACUGAGACACGGUCCAAACUCCUACGGGAGGCAGCAGUGAGGAAUAUUGGUCAAUGGGCGAGAGCCUGAACCAGCCAAGUAGCGUGAAGGAUGACUGCCCUAUGGGUUGUAAACUUCUUUUAUAAAGGAAUAAAGUCGGGUAUGGAUACCCGUUUGCAUGUACUUUAUGAAUAAGGAUCGGCUAACUCCGUGCCAGCAGCCGCGGUAAUACGGAGGAUCCGAGCGUUAUCCGGAUUUAUUGGGUUUAAAGGGAGCGUAGAUGGAUGUUUAAGUCAGUUGUGAAAGUUUGCGGCUCAACCGUAAAAUUGCAGUUGAUACUGGAUAUCUUGAGUGCAGUUGAGGCAGGCGGAAUUCGUGGUGUAGCGGUGAAAUGCUUAGAUAUCACGAAGAACUCCGAUUGCGAAGGCAGCCUGCUAAGCUGCAACUGACAUUGAGGCUCGAAAGUGUGGGUAUCAAACAGGAUUAGAUACCCUGGUAGUCCACACGGUAAACGAUGAAUACUCGCUGUUUGCGAUAUACAGCAAGCGGCCAAGCGAAAGCGUUAAGUAUUCCACCUGGGGAGUACGCCGGCAACGGUGAAACUCAAAGGAAUUGACGGGGGCCCGCACAAGCGGAGGAACAUGUGGUUUAAUUCGAUGAUACGCGAGGAACCUUACCCGGGCUUAAAUUGCAGAUGAAUUACGGUGAAAGCCGUAAGCCGCAAGGCAUCUGUGAAGGUGCUGCAUGGUUGUCGUCAGCUCGUGCCGUGAGGUGUCGGCUUAAGUGCCAUAACGAGCGCAACCCUUGUUGUCAGUUACUAACAGGUUCCGCUGAGGACUCUGACAAGACUGCCAUCGUAAGAUGUGAGGAAGGUGGGGAUGACGUCAAAUCAGCACGGCCCUUACGUCCGGGGCUACACACGUGUUACAAUGGGGGGUACAGAGGGCCGCUACCACGCGAGUGGAUGCCAAUCCCCAAAACCUCUCUCAGUUCGGACUGGAGUCUGCAACCCGACUCCACGAAGCUGGAUUCGCUAGUAAUCGCGCAUCAGCCACGGCGCGGUGAAUACGUUCCCGGGCCUUGCACACAACGCCC